rnacentral:rRNA from 1 species
GAUGAACGCUAGCUACAGGCUUAACACAUGCAAGUCGAGGGGCAUCAGUUUGGUUUGCUUGCAAACCAAAGCUGGCGACCGGCGCACGGGUGAGUAACACGUAUCCAACCUGCCUCAUACUCGGGGAUAGCCUUUCGGAAGAAAGAUUAAUACCCGAUGGUAUAAUUAGACCGCAUGGUCUUGUUAUUAAAGAAUUUCGGUUAUCGAUGGGGAUGCGUUCCAUUAGGCAGUUGGUGAGGUAACGGCUCACCAAACCUUCGAUGGAUAGGGGUUCUGAGAGGAAGGUCCCCCACAUUGGAACUGAGACACGGUCCAAACUCCUACGGGAGGCAGCAGUGAGGAAUAUUGGUCAAUGGGCGCAGGCCUGAACCAGCCAAGUAGCGUGAAGGAUGACUGCCCUAUGGGUUGUAAACUUCUUUAUAUGGGAAUAAAGUUUUCCACGUGUGGAAUUUUGUAUGUACCAUAUGAAUAAGGAUCGGCUAACUCCGUGCCAGCCGCCGCCGU